GUGCAGAUGAUGGAACCGGUAGACAAAUCGGUCUCAAAAAUCGAUGCCGAAAGGCUUGUGGGUUCGAAUCCCACUCUGCACACCA
rnacentral:tRNA from 1 species